CCUACGGGAGGCAGCAGUGAGGAAUAUUGGUCAAUGGGAGAGAUCCUGAACCAGCCAAGCCGCGUGAGGGAAGACGGCCCUAUGGGUUGUAAACCUCUUUUGUCGGAGAACAAAACCCGGGACGUGUCCAGGACUGCGUGUAUCCGAAGAAAAAGCAUCGGCUAACUCCGUGCCAGCAGCCGCGGUAAUACGGAGGAUGAGAGCGUUCGCCGGAUUUAUUGGGUUUAAAGGGUGCGUAGGCGGUCCGUUAAGUCAGCGGGAAAAUUGCGGGGCUCAACCCCGUCGAGCAGUUGAAACUGGCAGACUUGAGUUGGCGAGAAGUACGCGGAAUGCGCGGUGUAGCGGUGAAAUGCAUAGAUAUCGCGCAGAACUCCGAUUGCGAAGGCAGCGUACCGGCGCCAGACUGACGCUGAGGUACGAAAGCGUGGGGAUCGAACAGGAUUAGAUACCCUGGUAGUC
rnacentral:rRNA from 1 species